rnacentral:rRNA from 1 species
UGAGGAAUUUUGCGCAAUGGGGGAAACCCUGACGCAGCGACGCCGCGUGGAGGACGAAGGCCUUCGGGUCGUAAACUCCUGUCAAGAGGGACGAAGGUCGUGCGGAUGAAUAAGCCGUACGAUUGACGGUACCUCUGGAGGAAGCCCCGGCUAACUCCGUGCCAGCAGCCGCGGUAAUACGGAGGGGGCCAGCGUUGUUCGGAAUUAUUGGGCGUAAAGGGCGCGCAGGCGGCCAGGCAAGUUGGAGGUGAAAUCCCUCGGCUCAACCGAGGAACUGCCUCCAAUACUGCAUGGCUUGAGUCCCGGAGAGGGUAGCGGAAUUCCCAGUGUAGCGGUGAAAUGCGUAGAUAUUGGGAGGAACACCAGUGGCGAAGGCGGCUACCUGGACGGGUACUGACGCUGAGGCGCGAAAGCGUGGGGAGCAAACAGGAUUAGAUACCCCCGUAGUCC